AAGGCUUUAAGUUAAAUAAACUAUUAGCCUUCAAAGCUAAAAAUAAAUUUUGAAUUUAAGCCUUA
rnacentral:tRNA from 1 species